GAUGAACGCUGGCGGCGUGCCUAAUACAUGCAAGUCGAGCGAACAGAUAAGGAGCUUGCUCCUUUGAAGUUAGCGGCGGACGGGUGAGUAACACGUGGGUAACCUACCUAUAAGACUGGGAUAACUUCGGGAAACCGGAGCUAAUACCGGAUAACAUUUAGAACCGCAUGGCUCUAAAGUGAAAGAUGGUUUUGCUAUCACUUAUAGAUGGACCCGCGCCGUAUUAGCUAGUUGGUAAGGUAACGGCUUACCAAGGCGACGAUACGUAGCCGACCUGAGAGGGUGAUCGGCCACACUGGAACUGAGACACGGUCCAGACUCCUACGGGAGGCAGCAGUAGGGAAUCUUCCGCAAUGGGCGAAAGCCUGACGGAGCAACGCCGCGUGAGUGAUGAAGGGUUUCGGCUCGUAAAACUCUGUUAUUAGGGAAGAACAAAUGUGUAAGUAACUGUGCACAUCUUGACGGUACCUAAUCAGAAAGCCACGGCUAACUACGUGCCAGCAGCCGCGGUAAUACGUAGGUGGCAAGCGUUAUCCGGAAUUAUUGGGCGUAAAGCGCGCGUAGGCGGUUUCUUAAGUCUGAUGUGAAAGCCCACGGCUCAACCGUGGAGGGUCAUUGGAAACUGGGAAACUUGAGUGCAGAAGAGGAAAGUGGAAUUCCAUGUGUAGCGGUGAAAUGCGCAGAGAUAUGGAGGAACACCAGUGGCGAAGGCGACUUUCUGGUCUGUAACUGACGCUGAUGUGCGAAAGCGUGGGGAUCAAACAGGAUUAGAUACCCUGGUAGUCCACGCCGUAAACGAUGAGUGCUAAGUGUUAGGGGGUUUCCGCCCCUUAGUGCUGCAGCUAACGCAUUAAGCACUCCGCCUGGGGAGUACGACCGCAAGGUUGAAACUCAAAGGAAUUGACGGGGACCCGCACAAGCGGUGGAGCAUGUGGUUUAAUUCGAAGCAACGCGAAGAACCUUACCAAAUCUUGACAUCCUUUGAAAACUCUAGAGAUAGAGCCUUCCCCUUCGGGGGACAAAGUGACAGGUGGUGCGUGGUUGUCGUCAGCUCGUGUCGUGAGAUGUUGGGUUAAGUCCCGCAACGAGCGCAACCCUUAAGCUUAGUUGCCAUCAUUAAGUUGGGCACUCUAGGUUGACUGCCGGUGACAAACCGGAGGAAGGUGGGGAUGACGUCAAAUCAUCAUGCCCCUUAUGAUUUGGGCUACACACGUGCUACAAUGGACAAUACAAAGGGCAGCUAAACCGCGAGGUCAUGCAAAUCCCAUAAAGUUGUUCUCAGUUCGGAUUGUAGUCUGCAACUCGACUACAUGAAGCUGGAAUCGCUAGUAAUCGUAGAUCAGCAUGCUACGGUGAAUACGUUCCCGGGUCU
rnacentral:rRNA from 1 species